rnacentral:rRNA from 1 species
AUUGAACGCUGGCGGCAGGCCUAACACAUGCAAGUCGAGCGGAUGAAGGGAGCUUGCUCCUGGAUUCAGCGGCGGACGGGUGUGUAAUGCCUAGGAAUCUGCUUGGUAGUGGGGGAUAACGUCCGGAAACGGGCGCUAAUACCGCAUACGUCCUGAGGGAGAUAGUGGGGGAUCUUCGGACCUCACGCUAUCAGAUGAGCCUAGGUCGGAUUAGCUAGUUGGUGGGGUAAAGGCCUACCAAGGCGACGAUCCGUAACUGGUCUGAGAGGAUGAUCAGUCACACUGGAACUGGGACACGGUCCAGACUACUACGGGAGGCAGCAGUGGGGAAUAUUAGACAGUGGGCGAGAGCCUGGUCCAGCCAUGCCGCGUGUGUGGAGAAGGUCUUCGGAUUGUAAAGCACUUUAAGUUGGGAGGAAGGGCAGUAAGUUAAUACCUUGCUGUUUUGACGUUACCAGCAGAAUAAGCACCGGCUAACUUCGUG